AUGCAAGUCGAGCGAGGCGGGUAGCAAUACCCAGUCGAGCGGCGAACGGGUGAGUAACGCGUGGAUUAUCUACCCUGAGGUGGGGGAUAACCCGGCGAAAGCCGGGCUAAUACCGCAUAACAUCGAAAGAUCAAAGGGGGAGCAAUCUCCCGCCAUUGGAGGAGUCCGCGUCCGAUUAGCUAGUUGGUAGGGUAAUGGCCUACCAAGGCGACGAUCGGUAGCCGGCCUGAGAGGGUGAUCGGCCACACUGGAACUGAGACACGGUCCAGACUCCUACGGGAGGCAGCAGUGGGGAAUUUUGCGCAAUGGGCGAAAGCCUGACGCAGCAACGCCGCGUGGAGGAUGACGGUCCUUGGAUCGUAAACUCCUGUCAGCAGGGAAAAAGGGGACCGGGCUCAUACCCCGGUUCAUUGAUUGUACCUGCAGAGGAAGCCCCGGCUAACUCUGUGCCAGCAGCCGCGGUAAUACAGAGGGGGCAAGCGUUAUUCGGAAUUAUUGGGCGUAAAGGGCGCGUAGGCGGCUCGACAAGUGGAAGGUGAAAUCCCUCGGCUUAACCGAGGAACUGCCCUCCAAACUGUUUUUGCUUGAGGCCGGGAGAGGUGAGUGGAAUUCCCAGUGUAGCGGUGAAAUGCGUAGAUAUUGGGAGGAACACCAGUGGCGAAGGCGGG
rnacentral:rRNA from 1 species